GAAUGAGGAGUAGGUGACUUCUUGUGACCCUUCCCUUGAAUGAAUAAAGGAAAUGGACAAAAUCAUAUCUGUCAAAAACGGUUAUCUAACACCUGCAUAUAUCCUGGAGAAUUACUGGGACAAGAUUGGUAAUAUCUGUUGGUUAUAAAAAUAUUGUUAUAGAGUAA